CAUAUCAUUAAGCGGAGGAAAAGAAACUAACAAGGAUUCCCCUAGUAACGGCGAGUGAAGCGGGAAGAGCUCAACUUUGAAAGCUGGUACCUUUGGUGCCCGCGUUGUAACCUCGAGACGCGUUUUCCGUGCGGCGCUAUGGACAAGUUCCUUGGAACAGGACAUCGUAGAGGGUGAAAAUCCCGUACUUGCCAUGGAUGUACCGUGCUUUGUGAUACGCGCUCCAAGAGUCGAGUUGUUUGGGAUUGCAGCUCAAAAUGGGUGGUAGACUCCAUCUAAAGCUAAAUAUCGGGGAGAGACCGAUAGCGAACAAGUACCGUGAGGGAAAGAUGAAAAGCACUUUGGAAAGAGAGUUAAAAGUACGUGAAAUUGUCGAAAGGGAAGCGCUUGAAGUCAGCCAUGCCGCUCAGGACUCAGCUUGGUUUUUGCCGAGUGUAUUUCCUGGGUAGCAAGUCAGCAUUGGUUUGGUGCGUCGGAGAAGCAUCCUGGGAAUGUAGCGCCCUCGGGCGUGUUAUAGCCUAGGAUUGGAUACGACGUGCUAGACCAAGGAACGCAGCGCGCCUUUUGGCGGGUCUUCGGACACCUUCGCGCUUAGGAUGCUGGCGUAAUGGCUUUAAGUGGC
rnacentral:rRNA from 1 species